GGCGCGGUAAGUGCGGGCCGCUUCAAACCCGGCGGCUUUCCGGCCCUGCGAAUCCCGCUGCUGGUUCUAAAAGUCAGCGGGGUUCGUCAAAUCCAUGGCAGUGAUCCGCCGCGCGUUGGAUCCCUUUGGACGCACUGCGGUCUGGGCUGUGCCUGCAAGGGGGCGGCCGGAGGUGUCUGUUUCCAGUGGGUGCCUGCCUUCUCGUCCCCUUCUCAUAGAGAGAGAGGGCCAGAAAAGGUGGUGGUACAGUUUGGGAAAAGUGCUCCGUCAAAACAGUAUGGAAAGUGAAGAUGAUUGAUGGAUGGAAUUCACAGUUCCUCCCAGGAACUGUUAUCGCUCCUGAAAGAUGCUCACACUUGUGAGAGCAGGAACUGUCUGAGUGUACCUGUAAGACCAAGGAGGCUGGACCUCCUCCGUCAUGUCUGGCAGCAGUCGGGUGGCACUCGCAUUGCCCAAGAGCCCAUCAGUGACAGCUAGCACCAUCUCCAGCCUGCUGGAGGGACUAGGAUCUAACUUACCACACUGGAAGAGCAUGUUACAGAAGCAAGGUUUCGUUAACUUCACUGCUUGCAGGCCAGUUUGGGUUUGCUGGGGGUUUUUGUUUUGUUCUUGAGCAAAUCUGAGCCCUCGUUUUGGAAGGUAUGGUGAGCUUGCUUUAGUUUUGUAGUGGUGAAACCUUGUGUGAGCUCUGAGUGAGCUGAUUUUUAUGUCUGUGUCUAGCCUCACUGAAGUCAGGGGUGCUCUGUGCCAAGAUAAGAUAGCAGCUCUCCACAGACUUCACUGUAAGGCAGAGUCAAAAUCUGCAGUGAUGAAUUACAGUCAUCAUUACACAUCUGCAUUGGCUGGGGCUAGCCAUUCCCUACAGGCAGGGAUUCAUUCCUGUGUGCCAUCCUGGGCUCAGCACCCUAAGAUGGUAGAUUAGGCUGAUCUGUUCAGUGUAGCAAGUGUGAUGGUCAUCAGUAUUGCUAUGCUUUAGUUCUGGUACCUGGUUUUGGGAGGACAAUUCACAAAGCUGAGGUAAGCUCUAGGAAAUUCUUGGCAAAACCGAGACUUUAGCACUUGGAUUCCCAGCAGCUAAGCAUGCUGAGUGGGGAGAUUUUAAACUAGAUGAUGGGAAAUGUUCUUUGGGCAACUCGUUUCUGAUCAGUUUUAAUUGCUUAUAGCUUUCACUUAAGCAUACUUAGAGUCAAAGUGCCAAAAUCUGAAGCAGACUCUUGUACAUCCUGUGAUGCAUAGCAAUGAAAGCAGACUCUGGAAGCUGGCUCUGUUAGCUCCCCAACUCUGCCCAACCCCACACUGCCUUUCUCCCUCUGACACCUGUGCUGGGCCAUUUCAGCUCACUGCAUUUGUAGAAAGUGAACCCAGAUUAUAAAUACAAAUUGUUUUAUAAUUCCUAGCUUCCAAGGGGCUCAGCCAUGAAACAGGAGCAGAGUUAACACCAUCUUCAACUUAAAACAGUUUAACUCCCCACCUAUUGAUUCCCAAGAGACUGUUUUGUGUUGUGAGGGAAAACAAAUGAGAUUACAUUCCAGCAGAAAGAGAUUCAAUUAAUGUGUUUUACCUUGCAACUAGAGAGGACAACCAGUGUGAAUACAAUUACUGUGGCUCCACCAAUAGAUACUCAUUAAAUUGCUGUACCUGCCACUUUCAAUUGUGCGAUCCAGUCCCCAGAGUUUGGGUUCUUCUGUUUUUUAACAGUUUGAAAGAGAUGGAGACAAUAGGAGUAGACAUACCAAAGUCUUCUCUCAGUCAUAAUUUAAUUUUCUAACCAGAAAGGCACAUUAAGGUGGCUUCAGUCCCAUGGGUUUAUUUCAAAAUUUGAUAGGUCUGCAGAUCCCCACAGCUUUCUCAUUAUUGAUCCUUCCUAACAUUGCAGGUUAACUGUUGAAGGAAGGGGAUCACUUGUUGAGAGGAAGGAAGGAUGAUUUUUUAACUACUUUAUGCAUUCGGAUGGCCAUCCCUGUCAUGUAUUAAGGUCAUUGUGUUUAAUUGAAGAUGGUGGUUAAAUUAAAAAAGAGUAAUUGCUCCUGGCCCCUCUUUUUAUUAAUAGUGAAAACUUUGAUCAAACCGUUCCCCAAAGUGCCAGGAAAUCAAAGUGAAAAUAGUAUGAAUUAGCUUGUGACCUGAAUUUUACUGUUUUCAGUGGUUUUGGUGCACUUUUGCUGAUGUAUUAUGACAUUUCACAACAAAGUUUUCCUUGCUUCCCAUAAAGAAAAUGAGAAACCUUGAUGGCGCUAUUAAUUUUAAUUAAAACUUCCACUGCAUAUUUAAGUUUUGUAAGAAAUGCUCAUCACUAAUAAAGUUAAGUUAAAUAGCUGUUGUUUAGAUGUAGUUUCAAAACAGGGGAAGUCAGUUUCAAGAUAUAAAAAACACAGCAAAACAAACUAAAAACAGGUAAUUUAUUAUUCUAUUUGACUCUUUCAUUCUUUCUCCUUAUGAUGUUUAAAAAUAAAUCAAUUCAAUCACCAGACUUAAGAGAAAGUUAAGACAAUGAUAGUUUGUUUUUAUUAAGAUAGGAAACUUUUGCAGUAUCUGUCACAAGUCAGCCUUUUUUUCUGAGUCAGACUUAAUAAUUCUUUAUAAUAAUCAGUGUAUAAGCAUGAGGGACAUAUAUUUCAUAAGCAUUAGAUUUGUAAACAUCAAUAAAUAUUACAGUUACAAUACUA